AAUUAAUCACUAUAUUCAUACAUUUUUAAGUAUGGAGUCCUAUAUUGGGAGUCUAUUAGACCCUAGAAUUAAAAAAAGUUCACAUGUUUAAUUUAUUAAAUACUCAUGAAAAUUUUAUUCAAUUUAAAUAAAUAUUUGAAAAAUAUGCAAGCAUUUUAUCAAGUGGCAUAAAGUCAAACAAAGAAAUAUCCUUGAGGGAGAGAAUAGCCAGGGAUAGGCUCAUGGGAACUGGGACAUCAGCAGAGAAAGAUGAUAAUGAAAUCCAAAGCUAUUUAUCUGAUAUUUUAUAUCCUAUUAAUUCCAACAUGCUAGAUUGAUGGGACGGGAAUCAAUAUCCAAUUCUAGCCAAAAUAGCUAUGGAUUAUCUCCCACAGCAGGCUACAUCUGUAGCAUGUGAACGGAUAUUUUCCAAAGCUAAUAAUAAAAUAACAAAAAAACGAAAUAGAAUGUAUCCGAAGAUGGUUCAAUCUAUGAUGAC